AUUGAACGCUGGCGGCAGGCUUAACACAUGCAAGUCGAGCGGGGGAAGGUAGCUUGCUACUGGACCUAGCGGCGGACGGGUGAGUAAUGCUUAGGAAUCUGCCUAUUAGUGGGGGACAACAUCUCGAAAGGGAUGCUAAUACCGCAUACGUCCUACGGGAGAAAGCAGGGGAUCUUCGGACCUUGCGCUAAUAUAUGAGCCUAAGUCGGAUUAGCUAGUUGGUGGGGUAAAGGCCUACCAAGGCGACGAUCUGUAGCGGGUCUGAGAGGAUGAUCCGCCACACAUGGUAUUAUAAACGGCCCAGACCCCUUCGGCAGGAAGGAGUGGGGUAUAUUGGACAAUGGGGGGGACCAUGAGCCAGCCAUGCCGCGUGUGUGAAGAAGGUCUUAUGUUUGUAAAGCACUUUAAGCGUGGAGGAGGCUACUUUAGUUAAUACCUAGAGAUAGUGGACGUUACUCGCAGAAUAAGCACCGGCUAUCUCUGUGCCAGCCGCCGCCGUAA
rnacentral:rRNA from 1 species